UACGUAGGUGACCAGCGUUGUCCGGAUUUACUGGGCGUAAAGAGCGCGCAGGCGGUCGUUCAAGUCGAGUGUGAAAGCCCCCGGCUCAACUGGGGAGGGUCACUCGAUACUGAUCGACUUGAAGGCAGGAGAGGGAAGCGGAAUUCCCGGUGUAGUGGUGAAAUGCGUAGAUAUCGGGAGAAACACCAGUGGCGAAGGCGGCUUCCUGGCCUGCUCUUGACGCUGAGGCGCGAAAGCUAGGGGAGCAAACGGG
rnacentral:rRNA from 1 species